rnacentral:lncRNA from 1 species
AUAUAUGAUAUAUAUAUAAAAACAUGUUUUUAAUAAUUAAGGUGGUGGGGCCAUUAUUUAUAGUGGAAUUGUCCAACUUUUAGAUAUUAUAUACUUUUUUUUGUUUUUAAGGAUUAUUGCAUACAGCUUCGUGUAAACAUAUCGAAUAACAAAUAUAUCUCUAUAAAGUUCAAUUUUUUAUUUUUAUCCUUACAAAAAUUCAGUGAUAUUCAUAUUUGUUACUGUGGUUUGUUACAGUUAGAGCAUUAUUUAUUUUUUAACAGCAGUUAAGUGAAAUGAUAUUUUUAUCCUUACAAAUAUAUCUCUUUAAAAGCUCCAGCUGUUAGAAUUAUAUAGAAACAUUCUUCCAAAAAAAUAUUUUAUCCAAUAAUAUAAAAGGAGUAAAAAAAUCAAUUUAACUCAUUCACUAAUCAGGAUUAAGUAUUUUACUUAUGGUUAACUAUAUUUUUCUAACGGAUCUUAACAGCAGGAAUAUAUUUAAAAAUGAUAAGGCUUUUGCAUAGAUAAAAAUAAAAUAUUAAACUUUAUAAAAAUAUAUUUGCUAUUUGAUAUGUUUA